rnacentral:rRNA from 1 species
GAUGAACGCUGGCUCCAGGCCUAACACAUGCAAGUCGAGGGGAAACGGCAUCGCAAGCUUGCUUUUGAUGGGCGUCGACCGGCGCACGGGUGAGUAACGCGUAUUCAAUCUGCCCAUCACUUGGGAAUAACCUUGCGAAACUAAGACUAAUGCCUAAUGACAUCCCACGAAGGCAUCCGUAGGGGAUGAUAGAUGUAUCGGUGAUGGAUGGGGAUGCGUCUGAUUAGCUUGUUGGCGGGGUGACGGCCCACCAAGGCAACGAUCAGUAGGCGUUCUGAGAGGACGGUCCCCCGCAUUGGAGCUGAGACACGGACCAAACGCCUACGAGAGGGAGCAGUGUCGUAUGGUAGGCAGUGGGGGAGAACCUGGACCAGCCAAGUAGCGUGCGGGAGGACGGCGCUAUGGGUGGUAAGCUGCUUUUAGAGGGGAAAAGAGUGGGUAACGGGUGACUUUUUGAAUGUACCUUAUGAAUAAGGACCGGCUAACUCCGUG